UUCUCGGUUGGGACUCCCACCGCCGAGUGUCAACCACAGCGAAACAAAAUUUUGGACAAGUUUCUCUACAAUAAAGAUUAUAUGCUGAAACACAGUGACAAGCUUGAAAUUUUGAUUACAGCCUUUUAGCAUACACCUCAAGGGUUUUUAAAAGCAGCAAAUACUUCAAGACUGAGUAGAGUUAUCCGCAGAAAACAUAGGAUGGAUGGACCACAGCAACACUCAGCAAUAAGAUAGCAGCAGCAUAGGACAACAAUCUAGUGAGAGGAUAAAGUAGCACAAAACAAUAGCAAGUGAUCUCCAUUUCACAAAUCAAAUAAAUGUAGCUGAUUCAUUUUGUGAUCUCAUCUUUUUCAUGCGGAUCUAUUGAUGAAUCUUAUCUUCUUUCAUUUUAAUUUGCCUUGUUUAAGAACCUAUUCUGGGAAAUGAUUGUCCUUUUCAAGACCAG
rnacentral:lncRNA from 1 species